rnacentral:rRNA from 1 species
GAUGAACGCUGGCGGCGUGCCUAAUACAUGCAAGUCGAACGAAACUUCUUUAUCACCGAGUGCUUGCACUCACCGAUAAAGAGUUGAGUGGCGAACGGGUGAGUAACACGUGGGCAGCCUGCCCAAAAGAGGGGGAUAACACUUGGAAACAGGUGCUAAUACCGCAUAACCAUAGUUACCGCAUGGUAACUAUGUAAAAGGUGGCUAUACUACCGCUUUUGGAUGGGCCCGCGGCGAAUUAGCUAGUUGGUAGGGUAAAGGCUUACCAAGGCAAUGAUGCGUAGCCGAAUUGAGAGGUUGAUCGGCCACAUUGGGACUGAGACACGGCCCAAACUCCUACGGGAGGCAGCAGUAGGGAAUCUUCCACAAUGGGCGAAAGCCUGAUGGAGCAACGCCGCGUGGGUGAAGAAGGUCUUCGGAUCGUAAAACCCUGUUGUUAGAGAAGAAAGUGCGUGAGAGUAACUGUUCACGUUUCGACGGUAUCUAACCAGAAAGCCACGGCUAACUACGU